rnacentral:rRNA from 1 species
UACGUAGGGGGCAAGCGUUGUCCGGAUUUAUUGGACGUAAAGCGCUCGCAGGUGGUUCGUUGCGUCGUGCGUGAAAGACCCCGGCUCAACUGGGGGAUGUCGUGCGAUACGGGCGGACUGGAGGCCAGUAGGGGGAUGCGGAAUUCCGGGUGUAGUGGUGGAAUGCGUAGAGAUCCGGAGGAACACCAGCGGCGAAGGCGGCAUCCUGGACUGGUCCUGACACUCAGGAGCGAAAGCGUGGGGAGCGAUCCGG